rnacentral:rRNA from 1 species
AACAGGAUUAGAUACCCUGGUAGUCCACGCCCUAAACGAUGUCUACUAGUUGUCGGGUCUUAAUUGACUUGGUAACGCAGCUAACGCGUGAAGUAGACCGCCUGGGGAGUACGGUCGCAAGAUUAAAACUCAAAGGAAUUGACGGGGACCCGCACAAGCGGUGGAUGAUGUGGAUUAAUUCGAUGCAACGCGAAAAACCUUACCUACCCUUGACAUGGCUGGAAUCCCUGAGAGAUUAGGGAGUGCUCGAAAGAGAACCGGUACACAGGUGCUGCAUGGCUGUCGUCAGCUCGUGUCGUGAGAUGUUGGGUUAAGUCCCGCAACGAGCGCAACCCUUGUCAUUAGUUGCUACGAAAGAGCACUCUAAUGAGACUGCCGGUGACAAACCGGAGGAAGGUGGGGAUGACGUCAAGUCCUCAUGGCCCUUAUGGGUAGGGCUUCACACGUCAUACAAUGGUACAUACAGAGCGCCGCCAACCCGCGAGGGGGAGCUAAUCGCAGAAAGUGUAUCGUAGUCCGGAUUGUAGUCUGCAACUCGACUGCAUGAAGUUGGAAUCGCUAGUAAUCGCGGAUCAGCAUGUCGCGGUGAAUACGUUCCCGGGUCUUGUACACACCGCCCGUCACACCAUGGGAGCGGGUUUUACCAGAAGUAGGUAGCUUAACCGCAAGGAGGGCGCUUACCACGGUAGGAUUCGUGACUGGGGUGAAGUCGUAACAAGGUAACC